rnacentral:lncRNA from 1 species
AUAAACAUCACACUGUUCACUUUCUGUAUGGUUAAAUUCAAGGUUUAAUAGCCACAGCAAUCACAGAUUUAUAUUGAUACAGGUGACUGACAGUGAUUGAGCCAACAGGGCAGGUCUGGCUUCUGUUGAGGACAGCUCAUUGAGCUAGGUGUGAAAGUGUUAAGUGUUAAGUUGGAAGGCUAGAAAUACUGGCAAGUAAGAUAUCAAAAUCUCUGUAAAGUUAUAAAGACUGAAUCUACCUUCUACUAUAGACAUAGUCACUGCUGAAGGCCAGGCUUUCCCAAGUCUCUUAUUUUCUUAGUUGACUGUUACUUUUGGUUUUUCCUUUAAUUGACUGUGACUCCAAAAUACCACCUCUUCUUUCACAUAGUUAUAUUGCUAUGAUUGAAAAAUAAGGGGCUUCAUUUAAUUUAGAUUAUAGACUUUUACUCUUGUUAAUGCAGGCUUUACCUCUGAGGAAUGUGCCAUUCCCUUUUGAUGUAAGCUUGCCUUGAGCAAGUAACCAGGAGAAAUUUUUUGUCAUACCUUAUGCUUCGUGCUACAAGGGAUUUUUCUCUUUGCUUUCUAGGAUUUCUAGGAUUCAGUUGUGUAUCUUGUCUGUUAUCCAUUGUGCACCUCUGCUUUCAGGAAAACAUAAGAAGACAGGAUGUUAUUUCGAGAGGCAGAAGACCUGCUAGAACUCCGUGAGGUUAUGGGGACUUUGUCUGCGCCAAGCCACAUUCUCCUGUAAUGGAGAAAUGCAAAGGCUGUUCUCUCUAACAGACUGACAUUAUGAGGUGCCCUGGGAAACAUCAACAUUUUCAGGUUCUUUGACUAUAGAAUGCUUAGUUUCCCUUUCAUUGGUCUUUGAACUUUUUUUUUUUUUUUUUUUUUUUUUUUUUUGUGUCCUGAAUUUCACAGUAUUUUAUAACUUAUGGGUAAAAUAUGUGAAUAAGACAAACAAGGCCCACAAAGGGUCUUCUAAAAUGCAUUUCUUUAAGAUUGUUAUUUAAAUACCACAGGGCUAGAAUCGAUUGAAAAGUCUUGACUUCCUCAAUGCGCAAGCCAAUGGAAAUCUAUAAUAACCUCUGGGAGAGAAAAUCAAAGCUUGUGGGUUUAGUGACCUUGAGAUUUACCAGCUCCAAAUCCGAGUAUACAUGGUGUCAAAGCAGUUUUUCAGCAAACGAAGGAUGCUUUAUGAAAUAAUUUCCAUUGGCCAAUUUCUGCAGUAACUGUACUGGCUAAUCCUUACUAUAGUGCAAAAAGAAACGGAAUGCUUUCAUGCCUGUAAGUUAAUGUCAAACUGUAAAGAUUGUCUGUAGGAGUAUAAUGAUUCAUGAAUAAUGGAUAAUUUUGUGGUGUUAUGGACAAUACGGAAAAAACACACACCAAAAAAUAACCAGACAGGAGUAUUUGGUGGGUUCUAGUCCUGAUUUUGGUAAAGACAGGCUUAAUUUUCUUCCUAGUAGCUGGUAUGGUGCUGUAUUUUGGAUUUGAGAUGAGAAUAAUGCUGUUAAAACACUGUGCUUUUUUAUUUUUUAUUUUUAUUUUUUAAUCACAGGACACUAAUAGACACGACACUACUCUUAAUUUCAGCAGGAGUAGGAACAACAGAGAUUAAGAUAAUUCCGAUUCCUAUCUAGGGAAAGAGUAAUGUACACAAUUAGAGUGACUUCCUUGAAACAGUUUUAAACCAAAUUCUUUUAUU